GGGAACAACGCUGGCGGCGUGCCUAACGCAUGCAAGUCGGGCGGGCCGGGCCUUCGGGGCCGGUCAGCGGCGGACGGGUGAGGAGCGCGUGGGCAACCUGCCCUGGAGUGGGGGACAACCCCGGGAAACCGGGGCUGAUACCGCGUGGGUCCGGCCGCCGGUGGGGCGGGCGGGCAAAGCCUUCGGGCGCUCCGGGAGGGGCCCGCGUCCGAUUAGCUGGUUGGUGGGGUGAUGGCCUACCAAGGCGACGACGGGUAGCC
rnacentral:rRNA from 1 species